UAGGGAAUCUUCCGCAAUGGACGCAAGUCUGACGGAGCAACGCCGCGUGAGUGAAGAAGGAUUUCGGUUCGUAAAACUCUGUUGUUAGAGAAGAACAGCGCAUAGAGUAACUGUUAUGCGUGUGACGGUAUCUAACCAGAAAGCCACGGCUAACUACGUGCCAGCAGCCGCGGUAAUACGUAGGUGGCAAGCGUUGUCCGGAUUUAUUGGGCGUAAAGCGAGCGCAGGCGGUCAAUUAAGUCUGAUGUGAAAGCCCGCGGCUCAACCGGGGAGGGUCAUUGGGAACUGGUUGGCUUGAGUGCAGAAGAGGAGAGUGGAACUCCAGGUGUAGCGGUGAAAUGCGUAGAUAUAUAGAGGAACACCAGUGGCGAAGGCGACUCUCUGGUAUGUAACUGACGCUGAGGCUCGAAAGCGGGGGUAGCAAACAGG
rnacentral:rRNA from 1 species